rnacentral:rRNA from 1 species
CAGCCGCCGCGGUAAUACGGGAGUGGCAAGCGUUAUCCGGAAUCAUUGGGCGUAAAGCGUCCGCAGGCGGCCUUGUAAGUCUGUCGUUAAAGCGUGGAGCUUAACUCCAUUUCAGCGACGGAAACUACAAGGCUUGAGUGUGGUAGGGGCAGAGGGAAUUCCCGGUGUAGCGGUGAAAUGCGUAGAUAUCGGGAAGAACACCAGUGGCGAAGGCGCUCUGCUGGGCCAUAACUGACGCUCAUGGACGAAAGCCAGGGGAGCGAAAGGGAUUAGAUACCCCUGUAGUCCUGGCCGUAAACGAUGAACACUAGGCGUCGGGGGAAUCGACCCCCUCGGUGUCGUAGCCAACGCGUUAAGUGUUCCGCCUGGGGAGUACGCACGCAAGUGUGAAACUCAAAGGAAUUGACGGGGGCCCGCACAAGCGGUGGAGUAUGUGGUUUAAUUCGAUGCAACGCGAAGAACCUUACCAGGGUUUGACAUCCUGCGAAUCCCUUGGAAAACGAGGGAGUGCCUUCGGGAACGCAGUGACAGGUGGUGCAUGGCUGUCGUCAGCUCGUGUCGUGAGAUGUUGGGUUAAGUCCCGCAACGAGCGCAACCCACGUCUUUAGUUGCCAGCAUUUAGUUGGGCACUCUAGAGAGACCGCCGGUGAUAAACCGGAGGAAGGUGUGGAUGACGUCAAGUCAUCAUGCCCCUUACAUCCUGGGCUACACACGUACUACAAUGCUACGGACAAAGGGCAGCAAACUCGCGAGAGCAAGCAAAUCCCAUAAACCGUGGCUCAGUUCAGAUCGUAGGCUGCAACUCGCCUACGU